rnacentral:rRNA from 1 species
AACGAACGCUGGCGGCAUGCCUAACACAUGCAAGUCGAACGAAGGCUUCGGCCUUAGUGGCGCACGGGUGAGUAACGCGUGGGAAACUGCCUAUUGGUGGGGAAUAACGACGGGAAACUGUCGCUAAUACCGCAUAAGCCCUUCGGGGGACAGAUUUCUCGCCGACAGAUGUGCCCGCGUCCGAUUAGCUAGUUGGGGAGGUAAUGGCUCAGCAAGGCAACGAGCGGUAGCUGGUCUGAGAGGAUGAUCAGCCAAACUGGGACUGGAGACACGGCCCAGACUCCUACGGGAGGCAGCAGUGGGGAAUAUUGGACAAUGGGCGAAAGCCUGAUCCAGCAAUGCCGCGUGAGUGAUGAAGGCCUUAGGGUUGUAAAGCUCUUUCGGGGGGGACGAUGAUGACGGUACCACCAGAAGAAGCCCCGGCUAACUUCGUGCCAGCCGCCGCAGUAA